rnacentral:rRNA from 1 species
GACGAACGCUGGCGGCGUGCUUAACACAUGCAAGUCGAACGGAAAGGCCCUUCUUUUGUGGGGUGCUCGAGUGGCGAACGGGUGAGUAACACGUGAGUAACCUGCCCUUGACUUUGGGAUAACUUCAGGAAACUGGGGCUAAUACCGGAUAGGAGCUCCUGCUGCAUGGUGGGGGUUGGAAAGUUUCGGCGGUUGGGGAUGGACUCGCGGCUUAUCAGCUUGUUGGUGGGGUAGUGGCUUACCAAGGCUUUGACGGGUAGCCGGCCUGAGAGGCUGACCGGCCACAUUGGGACUGAGAUACGGCCCAGACUCCUACGGGAGGCAGCAGUGGGGAAUAUUGCACAAUGGGCGGAAGCCUGAUGCAGCAACGCCGCGUGCGGGAUGACGGCCUUCGGGUUGUAAACCGCUUUCGCCUGUGACGAAGCGUGAGUGACGGUAAUGGGUAAAGAAGCACCGGCUAACUACGUG